CUAGCUACGUGGCUACGUCGGAUGUUGAAAGAGUCCUCUCAAAUAACUCCUUGUUUAGUUUUUCAUCAGAGGCAUACCCGAAAAGCACAUUCUGACAUUAAAACGAAAGAAUCAUUCAAAGAGAAUGAGCAAGGACCCUGAGGAUCAACAUGGUCAAAGUUGCAAUUCAGAAGACAUCGGUGCUCCCAGAUGAAAGAUAGCCAGCUCUCAAGACUUGUCCACACCACAUAAGGCUUUUUUGGUGCAUCAACAGUGCAUGCAGAAACAGAGAGGACACUGCACUCCAACCAACAACGACAGGAUGAAGUAGAAAUCAAUUAUCACACUCUCCUGUUUACUCGUCAUCCUGCAGGGCUCGCUGCCAAAACAGUCCUCAGCAGCCGGCUCUCAACUUCAUAAAUAGAUCUUCGACACAAAACACCCUGGACUGCAGUUUGUUUCUGGGCUAAUAGAUGAGGGAGCUGAGCUAUCAGCAGAAAACAUGCAGCUGCAUAUUACACUCAAGUGUUCACUCGUCUACACUGGUAUGAAUGCAUUUAAUCCUCUUCUUUCAUUGCUAUGAGCAGAAUGACUACACCUUCAGAUUUGACCAUGCUUGUUGCCAUCAUUGAGGUCGACUGGUGAACGUUCUGAGUGUAAUGUGGUGAACAAAGUGGGAUCUAACAUUAAG